rnacentral:lncRNA from 10 species
CUGCCAUGUAAGACACGCUUUUCACCUUCUGCUAUGAUUGUGAGGCCUCCCAAGCCACGUGGAGCUGAGAUGAGAAGGAAUCGGUCCCAGCCCAGGGAGAUGGAUUCUUUCCUCUGCUGCUCUGACAGCCAUCUCGGCAACUCUCCCGACCAAACUCCCCAGGCUGUGGCGUGCCCCGCCGUGUGGUUCCUGUUGGGAGGCAAGGACAUGUGCUGGAUGUGUAUGCAGUCUUUGAAGCUGGAGAGGCCUGUGUUGGAAACUGUGCUCUGUCCCAUGCCAGUUCCCUGACCUUGGAAGGAGGAAAUUGAAAGUGUGAAACACCAGUGGGAGGAAAAGGUUCCUGUAACAAAUGUGGUUAUCAAUGGGAAAGAAGCUUUCUAGAGCUUAUAUACGGGGCCGAGUCAUGCACACUUCAUCAUACUCACCAGGGGACGACCCAGACCAUCAUUCUUCUCUGGUCUGCCACCUUCAUCCUCCACUUGCAGCCUCCUUUGCAGUGACCAUACAGGUGCAGAGCAUGAGCAGGAUGCACAGGGGUUUAUGUGGUCAGGCCUGCCUGGAGUUGGCACAUAGCAUUUCUGCUUCCAUUCUUAGGUCUGAAAUCCAGGUCACAGAGCCCUAACAUAACUACAAAGGAUCCUGAAAAGUGUUGUAUUCCAGUGUGCCUCGGAAAAGAAAAUAGGAUUAAUAAACUUUGAUUAGACUAAAUCAUUGA